UGUUGGUGAUGCGGGCAAUCUCUGAGAAGGAGCUUGAAUCUCUCCUAUGCAUGAUAUAUAUUUUCAUAUGGAUUCUACUAAAAACUUAGAAUCUUACUCCUCAACCU
rfam:Capsicum annuum cultivar Zunla-1 chromosome 2, whole genome shotgun sequence